UCAUCGUGAUUGUGUUACUAGAAGCUUUUCAAUCAUAUAUUGUCGGUUUAUACAGCUGGAUGUUUAACCGCAGAAAUCCUGGGUUUAGAACCAGUAAAGUACCUAAGAACUAUCAAAAGCUAUGAUUAAACAAAUGGUGUUUCCUGCAGACCCAAUUAAUAAUUAACAAAUGCUUUCCAUUGUUUAUCAAGAAGACAACUUGAAGACAACUGUGAUAGUAGAGUCCAAUGCUUAACUCGACCAGCAGGUCAGAAACCGAGAACAACCUGAGAUGCUGAUGUAGGACCACACUAUACUGCAGGCUAACGGACACAGCGCAACAAAGGCAGUGAGAGAAAAAAAACCUCUUCAUGAUCUUAAUUUGGAUCCAUAGGAUCUGCCUCUAGGACACCGGUAGGCUGUUUCGGGCAAGUAAUCUCAGCAAGAGAGUGUUUCCGGGACGUGUCCCGCCUGGCACAUUGUGGAACGACAGGGCCUCUCGCUACAGGGUCUCUGCAGGCCGUACUGGUUCUCUGGCAGCGCUCCCAGGUACUUCACGGCCUGGGCCGCCACAGCGGACGAAAGGUCACCGACAGGUUUGACUGAGGUGCACACGGGAGCGCUCUGGUUUCAGUUGGCGACCAACUCCAUACACACCCUUCAAUGAGCACUGCUAGGAUUAAGCACUCACGAUGACCUAUGUAACACUCCCUGUCUCCUCUCUGCUUACACUACAGACUCUCUCAUUUUCCCCAAUUCCUGAAUGACCUGAAGGGUCGUUCAACACCAAGCAAUUAACAAGCAGACGGACAAAAACCCAAAAACGCAGGCAGACAAACAGAAAAACAGAUGAAGACACUGGCAAAAACAGACACACAUGGGCAAACAAAAACGUUCAAAGAAAAGCAUAGGAAAGCGGGAGAACAUUAUAGGAAAGAAAAACAAACCGGGUAAGGUUAACUUUAGGUUAACGCAAAAUAAAUGUACCCAUGGAAGCCGACAACUAAACACCACCCUUCAAAAGGUAGAGAGCUCAUCGGGGCUUUUACUAGGACGCCAAAGUGUGUUUAUAUAUGACUGAAUAACAAGGUCACUCGAGCGGAGCACGUAAAAAAUAUCUCCAUUGAAAUGUUCUGAAGGGAAAUAACUUGAUCCAUAUAAAUGAGGCAUUAGCGUGGUAUUUAAAGACGAACAGAAGUAGUAUGCCAAUAUGCACUUCUUUCAUAUAUAUUUAGCAUUCGGGUUAAAUAAAUUAGAGCUUUUUUUUUUACAGUGCUGUAGUCAGUAGCGAGGAAAAAUUACGUUACGUAAACCUUUUCGCAGCACAUUGUGUUAGUGGCUUGUCGUUGCUCCGUAAGAUCGAAAACUGAAACUCCACGCGGAAUUCUGCGCGCGAGAAUCAGCUCGCGUAAUCCGCGCGCUUCCCGGCGCUAGCCGGCUGUCGCAAUCACAGUCUGCCGGCUAAUGUAGGUCACGCUAAACUUGCGCUAUCACGGUCGGGAGGCCGGGUUUUAAAAGUGCAGGAGGCGAGUAAACAAAACCAAAGCGCAGCCGGGUUCGUAACGGGGGCGGGUCAGGAGGGAACCAAGCCGUGACUCAGCCGCCUGGUCUGCAGGGACACCGCGGUGACACGACGCCCGAUCUCCGCACCCUCGGCAAGGCACGGUUAAUGAUGCUCGUCUCAGAGCCGGCUCUUGUUAUCCCUUUCAGCCUAAGGAGCGGCUCUCAGUUAAAAAAAAAUAAAAAAUUGCUCAGAAGCGGCCAGCGUGGCUCCGGAUACUGCCAGGCCUCAGCCUCCCUUUAGUGUGGAAAAGUGGCCUGAACCAGCUCUUCAGCUGGCGUCCGGUACCUGGGAGGAAACAUCAACUCAUCCCUGCUGCUUUCCAAUGCCACUUCAGGACAAAGGGGGGAAAGGACACACUCCGAUAGAAUGGAGGCCGCAGAAGAAGCCAUUUCAAAUUAAAGUAUGUAAGGAUACAAGCCAAAUACUGACACCUCAAUCUCUACAGGCAAAGGUACUGGAUGGAACGGUUCCUGCAUACAAUGAAACAGAGCGAUAUAACAGACACUGGGGGCAGGCCGGCCAAUUCAGAGGAGCGGCAUCGCUCACUCAACACGAACUGCGCAGUAAACAAACACUCUCUAACCUUGAUGGUAUCGAUUUCUUCCCCCUGUUUGCCUACCCAUCCUGAACGUGCAGGAGUCAUGCCCCUUCCUCUGCCAUUCCAGUGAUCAGUCAGAACACCUGGUUUCACAUCUUUGAAGAGGGGCAUCAUGGGAAAAAAUGUAUGGAAAGAUGUGAAGUAAUGUGUAAGAUGUCCAAUUUUAAAUCAGCAGCUCAAAAAGUAUUUCUUCAAGACUUUCCCUGUUAAAAAGUAUACUGUUAAUAUGCAAGGGCAUUAUCUUGUUUGUGGUAAGAUAUGAAGUCCAUAAAAUUGUUUUUUAACAUUUUUAUGGAGCCAAAACAUGCACCCAUGUAUCACAUUGUCAAAAUUAUUUUCCGGCAAAAAUAAUUACCAGCUAAUGUAUUAUGCAAUGCAUUUUUAACCAGUAAACAAACUCUGGGGGUAGGAGCACUCAGAGUUGUGAAGGGGAGCCCAUUUACAGCGUUACAAAUCUAUUAGGAAAAAAAAUUAAAUUUAAAGCUGGCCUUAAUUUCAUCAGAUUUUGACACUGUUCCAUUUCUGAGUUGCCGCUGAAGAUUGCAGGAGUCGAAGUAUCCUAUGAGGGAAACUGUGGGGAAUGCCAAACAAUUUCGGGGCGUACCGUUGCCCAAACAGCUUCCACUGCAUCGCACGCAAACACCAGUCUGCCACCUGAAGGCACCCAGGACGACUAACGCAUUUGUGGCUGGAAAGUCAGCUUCCUGCAUACUGCUGCCCCAGCAAAGCCAGUGAUGCCAACGUUAACCAGUCCGAGUGGGUGUGGGCUGCUGGGAGAAUCGCGGCCGUCGCCUGCCGUCCAUCUCAGCCCCUCAGGACCCCAUGGCGCUGUCCUUGGGGGUCCCAGCCAGAAGGGGGGAGGCUCUGGUGAACGACGCACUGCAACCAAAUUCCAAAAUGGCGCCAAGGAACCCGUGAUUUUCUAUGCGACGAAGAAAGAAACCAUGCGGCCCGAAGUGAAAGCAGCACAUCGGAUCAGGAAGGAUGCAAAUCCGCAAAGGAUUCUCUCAGACAGGAACCCGUUAAAACAUGACAGGCCUGCUAAGGAAAGCUUACACAAAAAUCUGAGAACGGUACCAAUCAUGGAAGAGAUUUUUACGAAGGAUCAAAACACUUUCGAUCGCAUGCUCAGAGAAUGUCUGACUGCACAUACUGUGAAGUCUUAACACUGCAUGCAGACUUUAAGGCCUGUUUUUCCAGCACUUGUGAAUAUAUUAUUAUUAACUCUGCGUGGAACAGUGCACCACCUGGGUGUGCACACUCUGCUGGUCACUGAACCAGCAUAAGAGGAUCACUGUCCUUAGCAAUGGACUGAAUUCUGCACACUUGUGUUGGUCACAGGAAAAGUAACAACCGGACAAUGUAUUACAGCAGCACUUUCUCCCCAGAACCGCCAGUUGGCCUUAUGGUCCUAAUUGGGGAAGAAAUCCCAGAGUAUGGUGCAUGUGAUUGUCUAAAUUUAUCUCCACACUACAUCCUUUACUUCUAAUUUUAACAUGACCCCACUGCCUCAUAAUGAGGAUCACACUGCAGACGUCUUAGUGGGAAUUCCAUGUCUCUGACAUGGGCUCCAGUACGUCAGUGAACUGGCCACGCCAAACCCUGCAGCUGCUCCCAAGUACAGUGGAGCCCCCACCUUCCCUGACAAAGAGAAAAUAUACAGUACCGUGCAAAAAUGUUGGGGUGCUGAAGAAAGUUAUGCUUAAAUUACCCUGAUGUUGAUGUAAACCUACGAUUUUAUGUCUGUCAAAGUAUGUUGGCUUAGACAUUUGGAGACCCCCCCCAAAAGUCACCCCAGUAUUUGCAGUAACCAUCCAAUACACCCAUGGACUCGAACACAAGCACAUUAUGUUUAGCUAAGCAGUACCUCAUCAAGUUAAUUAAAGUGAGCCGGUGGUGAAAUUUAGUGAAUACAUGGUAUUGCUGUGGUGCCCCAGAGGAGGUCUGGGAACUGAAGCAGUGUCACCCAACAAGAUUUCAGUAACAUUUUGGAGAAAAUUUCUUAGUUUUUAUUGUCAAUGUUUAUUGAUAUACUGUGUUUCUGAAUAAGUAUACACUUACUACCCAAAUAAGAUUAGCUUUAAACAUUUUCUUUGACUUUUGCACAGUACUGAAUUCUCACACAGACACACACACAGGUUUGUAAGUAUAUCUUUGCGGGGACUGUCCAUUCAUUCCUAUGGGGGAAAUGCUAAUCCCACCAUGAUGACCCUAACCCCUACCCAGCCCUAUCCCUAACCAUAAGUAACCAGACAAAUUACAAGU